rnacentral:siRNA from 1 species
CUGGUGAAGGAAAUCAAUCGCUAG